rnacentral:rRNA from 1 species
AACGAACGCUGGCGGCGCGUUUUAAGCAUGCAAGUCGAACGGGAUUGGAGGUGCUUGCACUUCCAUGAGAGUGGCGAACGGGUGAGUAACACGUAGUUGAUCUGCCUUUCAGUUGGGGAUAGCCUAUGGAAACAUAGGGUAAUACCGAAUACACUCUUUUUGCUUUGGCGAUUAGAGGAAAGAUCCGUUUGGAUCGCUGAUUGAUGAGACUGCGGCUGAUUAGCUUGUUGGUGGGGUAAUGGCCUACCAAGGCGACGAUCAGUAGCCGGCCUGAGAGGGUGACCGGCCACACUGGGACUGAGACACGGCCCAGACUCCUACGGGAGGCAGCAGCUAAGAAUCUUCCGCAAUGGGGGCAACCCUGACGGAGCGACGCCGCGUGUGCGAAGAAUGUCGAGAGAUUUGUAAAGCACUUUUAUGUAGGAAGAAUAAGGUAGUCAGGAAAUGGUCUAUCGAUGACGUUACUACAUGAAUAAGC